rnacentral:rRNA from 1 species
AUGAACGCUGGCGGCGUGCUUAACACAUGCAAGUCGAACGAGAAGUGAAGACGGAAACCUUCGGGCGGAAGGCUUUAUUUCGAGUGGCGGACGGGUGAGUAACGCGUGGGUAACCUGCCUCAUACAGGGGGAUAACAGUUGGAAACGACUGUUAAUACCGCAUAAGACCACAGCACCGCAUGGUGCGGGGGUAAAAACUCCGGUGGUAUGAGAUGGACCCGCGUUCGAUUAGCCAGUUGGCGGGGUAACGGCCCACCAAAGCGACGAUCGAUAGCCGAUCUGAGAGGAUGACCGGCCACAUUGGGACUGAGACACGGCCCAAACUCCUACGGGAGGCAGCAGUGGGGAAUAUUGCACAAUGGGGGAAACCCUGAUGCAGCGACGCCGCGUGAGUGAAGAAGUAUUUCGGUAUGUAAAGCUCUAUCAGCAGGGAAGAAAAUGGCGGUACCUGAGUAAGAAGCCCCGGCUAACUACGUG